AGAGAAUUACAUGGGAUGGUGUCAGCGGCUAGGGAUGGUGUCAGCGGCUAGAACCUAGCGAAACAGACACCCACACCUUCUGGUAUCUUUUUGUUUACAAAUUUGAACUAUUUGAGAAACAUGAAGGGAAGCUCAAGCAAAUACAUCAUUACCUUUUAGUUUUAUUUUUGAGUUGUUGGAAUCAGUAUCGAAAACAUCGAUACAAUAUAAGUGGUUUGAAGUCUUAUACUCCGUUUGACAUUACACAUUACGGAAAUAGUGAGAUUAUGCUUACGCCAUUGUGCUGAUAGAGAUUGGGUACUUAAUAGUAUGGAGAGGAUAAGAUCAAAAAGGAUGGUGAAAUAAGAAAAGAGGGAAGUGGAAGAGGAAGAAAGUUGGGAUGACAAUUAUAAAUAGAUUAGUACUUCAAAUCUUUAUGCACUGAGGUAUUCUUUGUGGUAGAAAAAAGAGUUUUAAAAGGCUCAUGAUUUUCGCGAAACUUUAUGAUGUAUGUGUGUUCCUUGACAACAUGGAAAAAUAUGAAAGGUUACCCAUUAUGAAAUGAUAGACGAGUGAUGCAUCAUUGUGUUAGGAGUCUGGUUGUAACCGAACUGUUCGUGUGCGUCUAGGAAUCGAUCGGAUAGAGAGAUAGGAGAGUUUAAACCUGCUUAUCAGGGUCACGUCGUGUUGGGCAAGUACGUGUGCCGUGUUGGACGUGAAUUGUUUGUAAGCCCCUAUAAAAAUCAAAGAAUAGGAAGGAGGGUAUAGAGCCAUCGUUGAAUAUUUUCGUUCUGUAUUUUUUCCUAUCUACUAUGUUAUCCCCAAUGAUG
rnacentral:lncRNA from 1 species